rnacentral:lncRNA from 1 species
CGCCAGGAUGGAAUACUUUAUUCACAUGAACAGACCCUGGCCCGGCCUGCCUGCUGCAGCUGCUCUCAGCUCCUCGAUGGAGCGAACAAGGGAGGAUUUCUUCAUCGGCUUGCUUCAAAACCCCCAGCACCAUCAGACCCCGCAGACAAGUGCAGACAGUUCGGCUUUGUCUGGGCAAGAGCGAGGAGGGGCAGGGGAGGCUGCGGGGCUGGCAGAGCAGGGAGCAGGGCUCCAGCCCCACAGCCUGUGCACAUGCAGCAGCCACAAAGCCUUCCUGCAGCCCCUCUCACCACCACACACGUCAGCAGAGCUGGGUUCUGGUUUGCGUGCAAGCACGGCAGCACCCAGCGGUGGCGAAGGAUCGGUGCCAAGGGGUCACUUCUGUCACCUCCCGGGUGAUGGGACCCUCACAGCACACCCUGCCCACUGACAAGCACCCUCCCCAAACAUUACAGUAAAAGGAAAAACCUGCCGGGACGUGCAGGAUUGGGUAGAGAACAGUUUCUGUGCCCGGCGGCCAGGCGGGGGCUGGCAUCCCCCAGCUGGGGCACAGGGCCAGUGGGACCCCACGGCCAUCCCCAGCCCUCAGGGCUUCAUCCUGCUCAGUCUGAUGUCGCGCUCAAUCUCGAACUGCCUGUGGUCCACACGCUCCAGGAAUGCCUUCCUCUCGAUGUACCUGUGGGGAGCAGAGGCAGAGGUGGUGUUAGCAGCACCUGUGACUGGGACAAGGGGACCCAAAGGGACGGGCAGAGGGAAGGGGUGGCUACCUCCGCCCUCCCGCUCUGUGCACC